AAAAGUAGAGUAAAAUUAUAAUCCACUCUAACCAAAGAAAAAAAAUUCCACCAUUCUUGAGCAAAAAUGCCUAAGUACUAACUUUUAAAUUUUAAAUUUUAAAUUUUAUUGAAAUUUGAAAAUUGAAAUUUUAAAUUUUAACUUUUAAUUUUAAAAUUUAGAAAAAUUUCGUGAAAUUGCACAAUACGCAGCCAAGCAGUUUAAAAAUUGAAUCCAUGGAAUUUUUUUAGAGUUAUAGAAUUUUCUAUUUCAUUUAGACCAAAACCAUAAUUCAUAAAUUUCGUAGAAAUUUUUUUACUGUACAUCCAAACAGGCCUAGAGGUUAAUUCC
rnacentral:lncRNA from 1 species